GGAAAGGUGGCAUCCCCGGCGGUUGGGGGGGGGGGUGCGUUGCCCGGAGACAGAAAGUUUGGGAUCAGGAGCGGCCGCAGUGGCCCCGGAGCGGGGUCCGGGGGUCCGGGGAGGAGGACGGCGGACCCAGUAGAAUGGGGAAGGAGCAGGAGUUGCUGGAGGCGGCCCGCACCGGGCACCUCCCGGCGGUCGAGAAGCUGCUGUCCGGGAAGCGACUCUCUUCGGGCUUUGGCGGCGGCUCUGGCUCUGGCUCUGGCGGCAACUCUGGAGGCAGCUCCGGAGGAGGUGGCGGUGGCGGCGGCCUGGGCUCCUCCAGUCACCCCCUCUCCAGUCUCCUCAGCAUUUGGAGAGGACCUAACGUGAAUUGUGUUGAUAGCACUGGUUAUACCCCUCUGCACCAUGCAGCUCUGAACGGCCACAAGGACGUGGUGGAGGUUCUUCUAAGGAAUGAUGCAUUGACCAAUGUGGCUGAUUGUAAAGGCUGUUACCCUCUUCACCUGGCAGCCUGGAAAGGGGAUGCUCAGAUAGUUCGAUUACUCAUCCACCAAGGACCCUCCCACACCAAAGUCAAUGAACAGAAUGCUCUUGAGAUCAAAGAACUCAAAAAGUAUGGCCCCUUUGAUCCUUAUAUCAAUGCAAAGAAUAAUGACAACGAGACAGCCCUCCACUGUGCAGCUCAAUAUGGCCACACGGAGGUGGUGAAGGUCCUCUUGGAGGAACUAACUGAUCCCACCAUGCGCAAUAACAAAUUUGAGACACCACUGGAUUUGGCUGCAUUAUAUGGGAGGCUGGAGGUGGUGAAGAUGCUGCUCAAUGCUCACCCCAACCUCUUAAGCUGCAACACUAAGAAACACACUCCUCUGCACCUGGCUGCGCGAAAUGGCCACAAAGCUGUGGUCCGUGUUCUUCUGGAUGCUGGGAUGGAUAGCAACUAUCAGACGGAGAAGGGCAGUGCUUUGCAUGAGGCUGCUUUGUUUGGCAAGACAGAUGUGGUUCAAAUCCUGCUGGCUGCAGGAAUUGAUGUGAAUAUAAAAGAUAAUCGGGGGCUAACUGCACUAGACACUGUACGGGAGCUUCCUUCCCAGAAGAGUCAGCAGAUAGCAGCAUUUAUUGAAGAACACAUGAUUGGGAAAAGAAGUACAAAAGAAGAAGACAGACCUAUCAGAGCACAGCCAUCUUUCAUCCCUCAUUUGGACUCAUCAUCCCUGAAGUCUCAAGGUGAUGUGGAGAAAGCAGUAAAUGAGCUGAUCAUUGAUUUUGACAUGAACUCACAGGAGGAAGGUCCCUAUGAAGCUCUGUAUAAUGCCAUUUCCUGCCACUCAUUAGAUAGCAUGACCAGUGGAAAGUCUUCUGACCGAGAAUCUAUGACCAAGGAGGCAGAAGCAACCGUUGUGAAAGCAUCUGGAGUGAGGCCUAGAGAACGUCCACCCCCACCAGCAAAACCACCACCAGAAGAAGAGGAAGAAGAAGACACAGAAAUAGAACUUUGUCCUCAUAUAUCAUCUGAGGUCCCAGUUAUGAGAAGUAGGACCCAGGGGAGUGCAUCCAAGGAGGAAGAUGAGCAUCCUUAUGAGCUGUUGCUAACAGCAGAAACCAAGAAGCUAGUACCAUUGGAAGGAAAGCCAAAAGACCACGGGAGGAGCAGCAGCAGCCGGAGCCAGGACUCUGCAGAGGGACUAGACGGGCAGGUCCCAGAGCAGUUCUCAGGUCUGCUGCAUGGCUCUUCUCCAGUGUGUGAAAUCAGUGAGGACCCUUUCCAGCUUCUUUCCACUGUGAGCCAGGGUGAUUCUGAAGGGUCAUCCAGACAGGGCACAAGUUACAAAGCUGCUAUGCAGUUGGAGGAUGCUGCUUUGCACACUCCUGGAUCCACCCAGCCCAGCCUUUCUGACCAAAAUAAGAAACUGGGUUAUUCAGCUGGCCUGCCCACCAGCCACAGCCAAUUGGACCCUGAAACUUUGAUGCAUGAGAUAUCUCAACACCCUGGUGGUGCCGAGGAAGCAGGAGACUGGACUGGGACCAGGAGUUGGGCCCCUCCCUCUAGCAGACCAAAAGCUGAACUUAAACUCAGCCGCAGUUUGUCCAAGUCAGACUCUGAUCUCCUGACCUGCUCACCAACAGAAGAUACCACAAUGGGGAGUAGGAGUGAGUCCUUGUCCAACUGCAGCAUUGGGAAGAAGCGGCUAGAAAAGUCACCAUCUUUUGCCUCAGAGUGGGAUGAGAUUGAAAAGAUCAUGAGCUCAAUCGGGGAAGGCAUAGACUUUUCUCAGGAACAGCAGAAGAUCUCAGGUUCACGGAUGCUGGAGCAGAGUGUCGGGGAGUGGCUGGAGUCAGUUGGUUUGCAGCAAUACGAAAGCAAGUUGCUUCUGAAUGGCUUUGAUGAUGUUCGUUUCCUGGGUAGUAAUGUGAUGGAAGAUCAGGACCUUCGGGACAUUGGGAUUAGCGAACCCCAGCAUCGGCGAAAGCUUCUGCAGGCUGCAAGGUCUUUGCCUAAGGUAAAACCUCUGGGCUGUGAUGGGAAUGCCCAGCCAUCUGUCCCAUCCUGGCUUGACUCUCUGGGGCUGCAGGACUAUAUCCAGUCUUUCCUGUCAAGUGGCUACAGUUCUAUUGACACUGUGAAAAACCUCUGGGAACUGGAGCUAGUUAAUGUGCUAAAAGUUCACCUCCUUGGCCACAGGAAGCGGAUCAUCGCCUCUCUUGCAGAUCGGCCCUAUGAAGAGCCCCCCCAGAAACCUCCUCGCUUCUCCCAGCUUCGAUACCAAGAUCUGCUUUCCCAAACAUCCUCUCCCCUGAGCCAGAAUGAUUCUUGCACUGGGCAGUCAGCAGACCUACUGCUGCCUUUGGGGGACACAGGCAGGAGGCGACAUGACAGCUGCCAUGAUCCAACUGCCCACAGCCGAGCUGAGCACUUUAAGACACAGGAGGAUCCCCGGGAGGCCAAACUGACCCUUCGUCCCCCUAGCUUGGCUGCUCCUUAUGCUCCUGUGCAGAGCUGGCAGCAUCAACCAGAGAAGCUCAUCUUCGAAUCUUGUGGUUAUGAAGCCAAUUAUUUGGGCUCUAUGCUUAUUAAAGACCUUCGUGGGACAGAAUCCACACAGGAUGCCUGUGCCAAAAUGCGGAAAUCAACUGAGCAGAUGAAGAAGAUCCCAACCAUAAUUCUUUCCAUCACCUACAAAGGGGUUAAAUUCAUCGAUGCCUCUAACAAGAACAUCAUUGCAGAACAUGAGAUUCGAAACAUCUCCUGUGCAGCCCAGGAUCCCGAGGACCUCUGCACCUUUGCUUACAUCACCAAGGACCUGCAGACAAGUCACCACUAUUGCCAUGUAUUCAGCACUGUGGAUGUGAAUCUAACCUAUGAGAUCAUCCUGACACUGGGACAGGCGUUUGAGGUGGCCUAUCAGCUGGCCCUGCAGGCCCAGAAAGCGAAGCCAAGUGGGGCAUCAGCAGCUGAGAUGAUAGAAACAAAAGCUUCCAAACCAGUGCCAAAGCCUCGGGUUGGCAUGAGGAAAUCUGCAGGGCCGCUGCCACCUGAUAAUCGCUGUUGUUACUGUCACACCUGCACUACCCACCGUCCUUCUUACCUACCGCUGCCAGCUGUUAGUCCCGGAGUCAAGUUGGAACCAUCUGACAUGGACCAAGAUACCCAGUCUCAUGCCAGUGUCUCCUGGGUAGUGGACCCAAAACCGGAUUCCAAAAGGAGCCUCAACACUAAGUAUGAGACCACUAUCUUCUAAAACCAACCCAGUCCCUGUCUCCGUAGUCUCACUGUGCCUUUACCAUCUGAUCUGUCUGCUGUUUUCAAGCUCUUUCCUUCCAGCUGCUGAUGCUGAGCCACUGGGAAACCACACUGCUGCGGAAAAGUAAGUCCUGGGUGGCACAGACUGCUGCCACCACUGCCUCACCCACCAUCAUGAAGAUCCAGGCUCAGCCUCUGCUUUUGGGAUCGCCUUCCUGCUGUUCAGCACAGGCUUUCCACAAUCAAGCUUCGAAAAUAGAUCCCUCUCCCCCAUCCCUCCCUGCCCCUGACUGGAGAGCAGGAACUCAGGGUCUCUCUCUAGCAGAUGAGAUUGGGAUUCCAGGGGGGCAAGAAGUGACUCUGGGUUUUUUAGCUUGUCCAGAAAAACUUUUUUUUUUAAUGGAAAAAAUGAUUGCCCAUGGCCUGGGCCCAUAGGCAAGAAUCUUCAACCAGAAAGUCGUGGGGAUGAAGAUUUUUGGGAAGUUAGAAUUGGCAAAAAGGACAAUCCAUCUAGGCCUUACUUCUUCAGAAUGAGACUCAUGGACUAGCUUAGCAGGUUUGAAAGGAAAGUAAUUGCUUAUGGGAGAUGGGUGAGUAUAAGAGAACAGAACCAACAGGUUAACCUUAAGAUAGCUUGUUGCGUUGUGAUGUUCAUACCCAGCUAAGUUCCUUUGUUCUGUUAAAGUGCACAAAUUGCCCUUAGAACAAGAUCAUUUGAAGACAAAUAUCUCUGAUAUGAAAAACAAAAGAUCUGGAGAUACCUAAAAUGCAGCAAUCCUAUUGCUAGGAUUUUUAGAUGUGAAGAGAUGAUGCCAUUUCCAUACAUUGCUGUCCAUGGUAAACUCUUAGAGCUUUGGUCCCUUCAGUGCCCCACCCACACCUCUUCAAUCCAUUAGUGACCAGGGAUUUGGUCUCUCCUCCUUCCCUCCUCCCCGCCCCCCCAGCUCGGUAGUAGCUCCAUAUUUUCUAAAAGUUCCAAAAGAAAAGAUAAAAAAGAAGUUUCAUUUGGUGCAUUAACAGAAUCAACUGAAGUUAAUACCCAGUGACUUGAGAUUUGUCUAAGCAGGUCUUUGCAAUUAGGUAUCAUUGUUAAUUCUCUUGAGUCUUGACUAUGUCUGUUUUGUUUUGAUGUUCAGAUCCUCUUGGCUCCAAAUAAAACACACACACACACACACACACUCACACACACUUUAAAGCUGGUAGCUGACUUGAUUUUUAACCAUUCAGACAGUGCCCAUUGUCUGCACCAGGAUGAUUUAUUAGAACACUGCUGUUUUUGUACAACUCUCCAAUUUGCUUCUCUUUUUAACUUCAGUUUUGUUUCUGGACUUAAAACCAGACCUUCUCCCUUAUGAGACAGAAGGGCUAAGAACUAACUGUUCCUGUAACCUCUGGGAUAGGGAGCAAAGAGAGGACCAUACCCUUCCAAGUGCCCUUUAGCAAAUCUAGUAUUCUCUCACAAUGCAGUUUAUUCCUGUCCAAGUGCAAAUAUUUUAGGCUUUGGCAAUACUGCUCUUUCCCAGCGAAAGGUGUUGAUUGGAUUUAUGUGUUUAAGUAUAUGCAGGGAAGGUCCUUUUAGACUAAAACGCACAAAUUCUAUGGUUGACCAGAAGUUCCAGGUGGUGGUUUUGUUAUCUCUGGCUGAUUUGAGGCUUGGUCUUGCAGGUUUCCUCUUUCUUUGUCCAUCAUAGAUUGCUGCAGUUCUUCAGCAUUGGGAGCAGUUAAUUCUGGUCAUUCUGACCCUAACAGAAGAACUACAUGUGCCAGAGCUCUUUUUGAAAACAGGAGUUAACCUCUGCUUUUCUGUCCUAGGAAAGCACCAUGGUUCUUGUGGACCUGUUAGGGACUCCUAGCAACUUGCCGUUGUGCCGUAUUCAGCCUCUUGUUUUUCCAAAAAUUUCCCAAGGAAAAUUAAGAUCUUUUCAGUAAAGCUAUGCUGUUCCUGCCAUGGUUCUGGGUCUUUCUGCUCUGGGCCCAGUAACAGCAUUUCUCCAUCUUCCAGAGCUUCGCUUUCUUCCUUUUUUAAAGGAAGGUUGUUCCUUUUCAAGUAGUUAUCUGUGGGUGGAUGGUAGGUCCAAAAAGAAAAUUCUGUGUGGACACUAAGAUGAAUUUCUCAUUUAAAAAAAAAUCAUAUUGUGAUGUUUUUGUUUUUCUUAAAGCUGCUAUGUCCUCUUUAUUUAUUCAGGAUGUUUUCAGGUUGGGAAGAUGGCUGGUCAGCUCUGGUUCUUAAUUAUGUUUUUAGAUCAGUAUAUUUUUGGAUAUUGGAGAUAGGAAAGUGACUAGAUUUUUUUUUUUAAUGGGGGUCAGGUACUAUCCCUUUUCUAGAAAAGGGAUAUUGCAACUUUAGGUAUAGGCUUUGAGUGGGAAAGCCCCUGCUAUCACACUGUUCUCAGUGCAGGCCAUGUAGCAUAGUUGAACACAUCCACUGUGUUUCUGAACUGUGAAGGAGCCCAUUUAGGUGUGAAACUGUAGCUUUCUUGAAAUGGGUUCAGUUACAUUAAGCUGUCAUCAGUUCCCAGCUCUCUGCUUGAAUUUCCCCGUGUGCUUGCUGUUCUUAGGCAAUAGGAUUCUUUUUCCUAACAAGGCUUUAUAUUUGCAACUUUCCAGGUUCCUAGUGGGCCCUCUAGUACUAAAGAUCAGGGGUAGUUAUUCAAAGACAGGUUGGAACAGUAAAGCAAGCACAUUUGUGGUUUGUGAAAGUUAAUCAGACCUUAGUCUGGCUUGAAGGCUCAUCUGAUAUUGCCCAGACUUGCAAAGUGACUGUCAAAUUGAGUUUGCAAAAGGGUGAUUUUGCUAAUUGUGGUGUGUGGCAAUGGAACUGAUUUGUAAUAAAAAAAAUGUUAUUUAAUCUUUGUCUCUGUAUUUUGAUACUUGAAUGAUUUUCCUUUUAUUUUCCUGUAUAUAUAAUUGUUAAUCUGUCCAGUUUUGUCAGAAUUAUAAAUACCUUGUGGUACCAAACGUAACCAAUCUGUGCAACGAAAUAGACUGACCUCACUACACAGAGAGAUUGUAAAUAUUCCUGGGCUUCCAGCAUUGGUUUUGUUAUUUUGAUAACUGUACAACUUAGAACAGACUGAAUAAAUGAAAAGUGACUUAGAA